CCUGCAGGGACACCGGCCCUCAUGGACUGGGAUUGGGGACCCCUGAGCUAAAGGGAGCUCUUUGGAGGUGACCGGGUACACCUGCAGGAAGCCAUGAAGGUGUUCACACCUGGCUGUGAAGGUGCUGAGGAGUUCAGACUUGAAGCCUUACAUCAUCUUCAUAGCUCCGCCCUCCCAGGAACAACUUUGAGCCUUAUUGGCUAAAGAAAACAAAAACCCCAAGCCCGAGGAGCUGCGUGACAUCAUCGAGAAGGCGCAUGAGAUGGAGCAGGGCUGCCGUCACCUGUUCAAUUCCAUCAUCGUGAACACAGAUCAGGACAAAGCUUUCAACGAGCUGCUGAGACUCAUCAACAAGCUGGACAUGGAGCCACAGUGUGUGUCCUGCUCCUGGCUGCGCUGAACACACACACACGUCUGGAGCUCGGGGCCGACGUCAGGACAGAAAUCAUCUGAGAUUUUGAAUUUAACUGGAUCAUAACUGUUCAUGUAUUUGUUAUUAAAGACAGAAUGAGUAGAAUGAGCUAAGCGACCAUAAAAACAAUAAAAUCAUAAACGAUGAACGUGACGGAGUAAAUUCACACAUCAUCGAAAGGAUGACAUUACAAAGAGCUCAAAUUAUUUCUGUUGUUUUAGUGGGAAUAUGAACAAUCUUGUCUCCACACAUUUUAUGACGCUCUGUGCCCCGCCCCACUGAGGCAUUCUGGGAUACCUGAGGGCGAUACCUGGGAUAUUGAACAGACUUGGAGCAGCGAGUUUAUAAUCUUUUUUCUUUCUUUUCAUGACACAAACUAAAGCUUUUGACCUUUGACCUUCUACUUACUUUGUUCACAUUUUUAAACUUUUUCCUGGAAUAUUUAUUCUGUAAAUCGACACUGAUGUCGCUGCAUUAAAAGUUUUAUUCUGAAAAUCUCAGAGGUUUGUUUCCUGUUGCUGACUCUGAAUCAGUUUAUGAACACAUUCUGACGUCAAACGGUUUUGGGAUGUUUUCUCU